AGCUGAAUGGCGCAGCGGAAGCGCGCCGGGCUCAUACCCACUAGGGAUGUCACCCGGAGGACAGUGGAUCGAAACCACUUUCAGCUA